GUGCAAGCCUGAACCAGCCAUCCCGCGUGAAGGACGACUGCCCUAUGGGUUGUAAACUUCUUUUGUAUAGGGAUAAACCUACCCUCGUGAGGGUAGCUGAAGGUACUAUACGAAUAAGCACCGGCUAACUCCGUGCCAGCAGCCGCGGUAAUACGUAGGGGGCGAGCGUUGUCCGGAUUUACUGGGCGUAAAGGGUGCGUAGGCGGCCUUGUAAGUCAGAUGUGAAAGGCUACGGCUCAACCGUAGUAAGCAUUUGAAACUGCAGGGCUUGAGUGCAGGAGAGGAGAGUGGAAUUCCUAGUGUAGCGGUGAAAUGCGUAGAUAUUAGGAGGAACACCAGUGGCGAAGGCGACUCUCUGGACUGUAACUGACACUGAGGCACGAAAGCGUGGGGAGCAAACA
rnacentral:rRNA from 1 species